CAGGCAUAUUUUUUUAGGUAAACUCUGGCGAAUUAGAUUGCGACAUUUUAAACUACACGCCGCAAUGUGUGCGAAUUAUUGGCAAAAGGCAACCUGAGGCUGCCUUUUUCUUU
rnacentral:sRNA from 1 species